rnacentral:rRNA from 1 species
CGCUGGCGGCGCGCCUAACACAUGCAAGUCGAACGAGAGAUGAGGAGCUUGCUCUUCAAAUCGAGUGGCGAACGGGUGAGUAACGCGUGAGGAACCUGCCUCAAAGAGGGGGACAACAGUUGGAAACGACUGCUAAUACCACAUAAGCCCACGGCUCGGCAUCGAGCAGAGGGAAAAGGAGCGAUCCGCUUUGAGAUGGCCUCGCGUCCGAUUAGCUAGUUGGUGAGGUAAUGGCCCACCAAGGCGACGAUCGGUAGCCGGACUGAGAGGUUGAACGGCCACAUUGGGACUGAGACACGGCCCAGACUCCUACGGGAGGCAGCAGUGGGGAAUAUUGCACAAUGGGGGAAACCCUGAUGCAGCGACGCCGCGUGGAGGAAGAAGGUCUUCGGAUUGUAAACUCCUGUUGUUGAGGAAGAUAAUGACGGUACUCAACAAGGAAGUGACGGCUAACUACGUGCCAGCAGCCGCGGUAAAACGUAGGUCACAAGCGUUGUCCGGAAUUACUGGGUGUAAAGGGAGCGCAGGCGGGAGAACAAGUUGGAAGUGAAAUCCAUGGGCUCAACCCAUGAACUGCUUUCAAAACUGUUUUUCUUGAGUAGUGCAGAGGUAGGCGGAAUUCCCGGUGUAGCGGUGGAAUGCGUAGAUAUCGGGAGGAACACCAGUGGCGAAGGCGGCCUACUGGGCACCAACUGACGCUGAGGCUCGAAAGUGUGGGUAGCAAACAGGAUUAGAUACCCUGGUAGUCCACACCGUAAACGAUGAUUACUAGGUGUUGGAGGAUUGACCCCUUCAGUGCCGCAGUUAACACAAUAAGUAAUCCACCUGGGGAGUACGACCGCAAGGUUGAAACUCAAAGGAAUUGACGGGGGCCCGCACAAGCAGUGGAGUAUGUGGUUUAAUUCGACGCAACGCGAAGAACCUUACCAAGUCUUGACAUCCCUUGACGAUGCUGGAAACAGUAUUUCUCUUCGGAGCAAGGAGACAGGUGGUGCAUGGUUGUCGUCAGCUCGUGUCGUGAGAUGUUGGGUUAAGUCCCGCAACGAGCGCAACCCUUAUGGUCAGUUACUACGCAAGAGGACUCUGGCCAGACUGCCGUUGACAAAACGGAGGAAGGUGGGGAUGACGUCAAAUCAUCAUGCCCUUUAUGACUUGGGCUACACACGUACUACAAUGGCGUUAAACAAAGAGAAGCAAGACCGCGAGGUGGAGCAAAACUCAGAAACAACGUCCCAGUUCGGACUGCAGGCUGCAACUCGCCUGCACGAAGUCGGAAUUGCUAGUAAUCGUGGAUCAGCAUGCCACGGUGAAUACGUUCCCGGGCCUUGCACACACCGCCCGUCACACCAUGAGAGCCGGGGGGACCCGAAGUCGGUAAUGUAACCGCAAGGAGGACGCCGCCGAAGGUAAAACUC